ACUGCAAGACUGGCCUUUGAUCUUACGACCCAGUCCCCUAAGCAUUCUCACCCCAUUUCUGGUUCCUCUGGUCACAGCACAAAUUUCCAGCUGGAAGGGGAAUGGAGACUCUGGGACCUAGGAGCAAGAGGUUCCAGGCUGCCUCACUCCCUUACAGAUGUUGACGUUAAAAGAAUAUUGGCAGAAAAACAGCCCUAGAGUUCCAGCAGGAGCAAACAGGAACAGGAAAACAAAUGACAGUAUCCCUGAGACAGCCACUUCUGGUGGUUGCCAGUCACCUGCGGAUUCAGCAACAGGUUUCCACAGGGAAGGCCCUACAUCAUCUGCUACCCUGAAAGAUCUGGAGAGCCCGUGCCAAGAACAAGCAGUAGUCCUGGAUUCAAGGUCCGUAGAAAUCGGUCAACUGAAGAACACCAUCAAAUCUUUGAAACAACAGAAGAAACAAGUGGAACAUCAGCUGGAAGAAGAAAAGAAAGCAAACAACAAGAAACAGAAAGCCAAAAGGGUGCUAGAGGUUCAAAUCCAGACAUUGAACAUACAGAAAGAGGAACUAAAUACAGACCUGUACCACAU
rnacentral:sRNA from 1 species